rnacentral:rRNA from 1 species
AGUCGAGCGGUAAGGCCCUUCGGGGUACACGAGCGGCGAACGGGUGAGUAACACGUGGGUGAUCUGCCUCGCACUUCGGGAUAAGCCUGGGAAACUGGGUCUAAUACCGGAUAUGACCUGCUGUCGCAUGGCGGUGGGUGGAAAGAUUUAUCGGUGCGAGAUGGGCCCGCGGCCUAUCAGCUUGUUGGUGGGGUAAUGGCCUACCAAGGCGACGACGGGUAGCCGGCCUGAGAGGGCGACCGGCCACACUGGGACUGAGACACGGCCCAGACUCCUACGGGAGGCAGCAGUGGGGAAUAUUGCACAAUGGGCGAAAGCCUGAUGCAGCGACGCCGCGUGAGGGAUGACGGCCUUCGGGUUGUAAACCUCUUUCGACAGGGACGAAGCGCAAGUGACGGUACCUGUAGAAGAAGCACCGGCCAACUACGUGCCAGCAGCCGCGGUAAUACGUAGGGUGCGAGCGUUGUCCGGAAUUACUGGGCGUAAAGAGCUUGUAGGCGGUUUGUCGCGUCGUCCGUGAAAACUUGGGGCUCAACCCCAAGCUUGCGGGCGAUACGGGCAGACUUGAGUACUGCAGGGGAGACUGGAAUUCCUGGUGUAGCGGUGAAAUGCGCAGAUAUCAGGAGGAACACCGGUGGCGAAGGCGGGUCUCUGGGCAGUAACUGACGCUGAGAAGCGAAAGCGUGGGUAGCGAACAGGAUUAGAUACCCUGGUAGUCCACGCCGUAAACGGUGGGUACUAGGUGUGGGUUUCCUUCCACGGGAUCCGUGCCGUAGCUAACGCAUUAAGUACCCCGCCUGGGGAGUACGGCCGCAAGGCUAAAACUCAAAGGAAUUGACGGGGGCCCGCACAAGCGGCGGAGCAUGUGGAUUAAUUCGAUGCAACGCGAAGAACCUUACCUGGGUUUGACAUACACCGGAAACCUGCAGAGAUGUAGGCCCCCUUGUGGUCGGUGUACAGGUGGUGCAUGGCUGUCGUCAGCUCGUGUCGUGAGAUGUUGGGUUAAGUCCCGCAACGAGCGCAACCCUUAUCUUAUGUUGCCAGCGCGUAAUGGCGGGGACUCGUGAGAGACUGCCGGGGUCAACUCGGAGGAAGGUGGGGACGACGUCAAGUCAUCAUGCCCCUUAUGUCCAGGGCUUCACACAUGCUACAAUGGCCGGUACAGAGGGCUGCGAUACCGUGAGGUGGAGCGAAUCCCUUAAAGCCGGUCUCAGUUCGGAUCGGGGUCUGCAACUCGACCCCGUGAAGUUGGAGUCGCUAGUAAUCGCAGAUCAGCAACGCUGCG